rnacentral:rRNA from 1 species
AGAGUUUGAUCCUGGCUCAGGACGAACGCUGGCGGCGUGCUUAACACAUGCAAGUCGAACGGAAAGGCCCUGCUUUUGUGGGGUGCUCGAGUGGCGAACGGGUGAGUAACACGUGAGUAACCUGCCCUUGACUUUGGGAUAACUUCAGGAAACUGGGGCUAAUACCGGAUAGGAGCUCCUGCUGCAUGGUGGGGGUUGGAAAGUUUCGGCGGUUGGGGAUGGACUCGCGGCUUAUCAGCUUGUUGGUGGGGUAGUGGCUUACCAAGGCUUUGACGGGUAGCCGGCCUGAGAGGGUGACCGGCCACAUUGGGACUGAGAUACGGCCCAGACUCCUACGGGAGGCAGCAGUGGGGAAUAUUGCACAAUGGGCGGAAGCCUGAUGCAGCAACGCCGCGUGCGGGAUGACGGCCUUCGGGUUGUAAACCGCUUUCGCCUGUGACGAAGCGUGAGUGACGGUAAUGGGUAAAGAAGCACCGGCUAACUACGUGCCAGCAGCCGCGGUGAUACGUAGGGUGCGAGCGUUGUCCGGAUUUAUUGGGCGUAAAGGGCUCGUAGGUGGUUGAUCGCGUCGGAAGUGUAAUCUUGGGGCUUAACCCUGAGCGUGCUUUCGAUGCGGGUUGACUUGAGGAAGGUAGGGGAGAAUGGAAUUCCUGGUGGAGCGGUGGAAUGCGCAGNUAUCA